rnacentral:rRNA from 1 species
GGAUAACAGUUAGAAAUGACUGCUAAUACCGCAUAAGACCACAGCACCGCAUGGUGCGGUGGUAAAAACUCCGGUGGUAUGAGAUGGACCCGCGUCUGAUUAGCUAGUUGGUAAGGUAACGGCUUACCAAGGCGACGAUCAGUAGCCGACCUGAGAGGGUGACCGGCCACAUUGGGACUGAGACACGGCCCAAACUCCUACGGGAGGCAGCAGUGGGGAAUAUUGCACAAUGGGGGAAACCCUGAUGCAGCGACGCCGCGUGAGCGAAGAAGUAUUUCGGUAUGUAAAGCUCUAUCAGCAGGGAAGAAAAUGACGGUACCUGACUAAGAAGCACCGGCUAAAUACGUGCCAGCAGCCGCGGUAAUACGUAUGGUGCAAGCGUUAUCCGGAUUUACUGGGUGUAAAGGGAGUGUAGACGGAUGGGCAAGUCUGAUGUGAAAACCCGGGGCUCAACCCCGGGACUGCAUUGGAAACUGUUCAUCUAGAGUGCUGGAGAGGUAAGUGGAAUUCCUAGUGUAGCGGUGAAAUGCGUAGAUAUUAGGAGGAACACCAGUGGCGAAGGCGGCUUACUGGACAGUAACUGACGUUGAGGCUCGAAAGCGUGGGGAGCAAACAGGAUUAGAUACCCUGGUAGUCCACGCCGUAAACGAUGACUACUAGGUGUCGGGUGGCAAAGCCAUUCGGUGCCGCAG